rnacentral:rRNA from 1 species
CUCCUUCGGAGCAGCAGUAGGGAAUAUUCCACAAUGAGCGAAAGCUUGAUGGAGCGACACAGCGUGCACGAUGAAGGUCUUCGGAUUGUAAAGUGCUGUUAUAAGGGAAGAACAUUUGCAAUAGGAAAUGAUUGCAGACUGACGGUACCUUGUCAGAAAGCGAUGGCUAACUAUGUGCCAGCAGCCGCGGUAAUACAUAGGUCGCAAGCGUUAUCCGGAAUUAUUGGGCGUAAAGCGUUCGUAGGCUGUUUGUUAAGUCUGGAGUUAAAUCCCGGGGCUCAACCCCGGCUCGCUUUGGAUACUAGCAAACUAGAGUUAGAUAGAGGUAAGCGGAAUUCCAUGUGAAGCGGUGAAAUGCGUAGAUAUAUGGAAGAACACCAAAGGCGAAGGCAGCUUACUGGGUCUAUACUGACGCUGAGGGACGAAAGCGUGGGGAGCAAACAGGAUUAGAUACCCUGGUAGUCCACGCCGUAAACGAUGAUCAUUAGUCGGUGGAGAAUCACUGACGCAGCUAACGCAUUAAAUGAUCCGCCUGAGUAGUAUGCUCGCAAGAGUGAAACUUAAAGGAAUUGACGGGGACCCGCACAAGCGGUGGAGCAUGUGGUUUAAUUUGAAGAUACACGGAAAACCUUACCCACUCUUGACAUCCUUCGCAAAGCUAUAGAGAUAUAGUGGAGGUUAACAGAGUGACAGA